GAUGAACGCUGGCGGCGUGCCUAAUACAUGCCAGUCGAGCGAGCAGACGAGGAGCUUGCUCCUCUGACGUUAGCGGCGGACGGGUGAGUAACACGUGGAUAACCUACCUAUAAGACUGGGAUAACUUCGGGAAACCGGAGCUAAUACCGGAUAAUAUAUUGAACCGCAUGGUUCAAUAGUGAAAGACGGUUUUGCUGUCACUUAUAGAUGGAUCCGCGCCGCAUUAGCUAGUUGGUAAGGUAACGGCUUACCAAGGCAACGAUGCGUAGCCGACCUGAGAGGGUGAUCGGCCACACUGGAACUGAGACACGGUCCAGACUCCUACGGGAGGCAGCAGUAGGGAAUCUUCCGCAAUGGGCGAAAGCCUGACGGAGCAACGCCGCGUGAGUGAUGAAGGUCUUCGGAUCGUAAAACUCUGUUAUUAGGGAAGAACAAAUGUGUAAGUAACUAUGCACGUCUUGACGGUACCUAAUCAGAAAGCCACGGCUAACUACGUG
rnacentral:rRNA from 1 species